GAGUUUGAUCGUGGCUCAGAUUGAACGCUGGCGGCAUGCCUUACACAUGCAAGUCGAACGGCAGCAUGAUCUAGCUUGCUAGAUUGAUGGCGAGUGGCGAACGGGUGAGUAAUACAUCGGAACGUGCCCUGUAGUGGGGGAUAACUAGUCGAAAGAUUAGCUAAUACCGCAUACGACCUGAGGGUGAAAGUGGGGGACCGCAAGGCCUCAUGCUAUAGGAGCGGCCGAUGUCUGAUUAGCUAGUUGGUGGGGUAAAGGCCCACCAAGGCGACGAUCAGUAGCUGGUCUGAGAGGACGAUCAGCCACACUGGGACUGAGACACGGCCCAGACUCCUACGGGAGGCAGCAGUGGGGAAUUUGGACAAUGGGCGAAAGCCUGAUCCAGCAAUGCCGCGUGUGUGAAGAAGGCC
rnacentral:rRNA from 1 species